UUUCGAUAGCGUAAAAGUUAACUCAAUUUUGUAUGGAGUUCGAACGUUUUCCUACGUUUGCCGCUACGGGCGAUGGUCCAACUGCAUACAAAUUUGAGUUAACUCUUACUCUGUCGA
rnacentral:pre_miRNA from 9 species